rnacentral:rRNA from 1 species
GCAAGUCGAACGAGAACGGGAUUGCUUGCAAUCCUCAGUAAAGUGGCGCACGGGUGAGUAACACGUGGAUAACCUACCUAAGGUUCUGGAACAACAUUGCGAAAGCGAUGCUAAUACCGGAUGAAGUAUAAAUCUCUUCAGGGAUUAAUACGAAAGAGUGCCUCUAUUUAUAAGCAUUUGACAUUAGAUGGGUCCGCGGAUCAUUAGCUUGUUGGUGGGGUAAUGGCCUACCAAGGCAACGAUGAUUAGCUGGUCUGAGAGGAUGAUC